UACGUAGGUGGCAAGCGUUGUCCGGAUUUACUGGGCGUAAAGAGCGCGCAGGCGGUCGUGCAAGUCGCGUGUGAAAGCCCCCGGCUCAACUGGGGAGGGUCACGCGAUACUGCUCGACUCGAAGGCAGGAGAGGGAAGUGGAAUUCCCGGUGUAGUGGUGAAAUGCGUAGAUAUCGGGAGGAACACCAGUGGCGAAGGCGGUUGCCUGGAGCUUUGCUGACGCUGAUGCGCGAAAGCGUGGGGAGCGAGUCCGG
rnacentral:rRNA from 1 species